CAAUAGCGUAUAUUAAAGUUGUUGCGGUUAAAAAGCUCGUAGUUGGAUUUCUGUUGAGCGCAGCCCGUCUACCUUUUGGGUAUGUAUGUGGUUUGAGCUCGGCAUCUUCGUGGAAAACGUUUCUGCGCUUGAUUGCGUGGGGCGGGGUUCACGACUUUUACUUUGAGGAAAUUAGAGUGUUCACGGCAGGCAUACGCCUUGAAUAUAUUAGCAUGGAAUAAUAAUAUAGGAUCUUGGUUCUAUUUUGUUGGUUUCUAGGGCUAAGAUAAUGAUUAAUAGGGACAAUUGGGGGCAUUCGUAUUAACAAGUCAGAGGUGAAAUUCUUGGAUUUUGUUACGACGAACUACUGCGAAAGCAUUUGCCAAGGAUGUUUUCAUUGAUCAAGAACGAAAGUAAGGGGAUCGAAGACGAUUAGAUACCA
rnacentral:rRNA from 1 species